CCUACGGGAGGCUGCAGUAAGGAAUAUUGGUCAAUGGACGCAAGUCUGAACCAGCCAUGCCGCGUGGAGGAUGAAGGUCCUCUGGAUUGUAAACUUCUUUUAUUUGGGAAGAAACCCACGAUUUCUAUUGUGGUUGACGGUACCAGAUGAAUAAGCACCGGCUAACUCCGUGCCAGCAGCCGCGGUAAUACGGAGGGUGCCAGCGUUAUCCGGAUUCACUGGGUCGAAGGCGGGCAGGGAAGGGCGGGUAGAAAUCCCCGAGCUUAACUUGGGAACUGCCGUUGAUACUAUCUGUCUUGAAUACUGUGGAGGUAAGCGGAAUAUGUCAUGUAGCGGUGAAAUGCUUAGAUAUGACAUAGAACACCGAUUGCGAAGGCAGCUUGCUACACAGUCAUUGACGCUGAGGCACGAAAGCGUGGGGAUCAAACAGGAUUAGAUACCCGGGUAGUC
rnacentral:rRNA from 1 species